UACGUAGGGGCCUAGCGUUGUCCGGAUUUAUUGGGCCUAAAGCAUCCGUAGCCGGUCCUACAAGUCUUCCGUUAAAUCCACCUGCUUAACAGAUGGGCUGCGGAAGAUACUAUAGGGCUAGGAGGCGGGAGAGGCAAGCGGUACUCAGUGGGUAGGGGUAAAAUCCUCUGAUCCAUUGAAGACCACCAGUGGCGAAGGCGGCUUGCCAGAACGCGCUCGACGGUGAGGGAUGAAAGCUGGGGGAGCAAACCGG
rnacentral:rRNA from 1 species